UGUAAUAAACCAAUAAAUUCUAUCAUCACUUACUUAAUGAUAUAUGAUAUGGUGGGACUUAUGUCUCUCAUUUCUAGAAACUAUUUUUUUUGUCUGAUUUAUUAUAGAAGACUGACAGCUUAUAUUGAGACAUGGUUGGUGGCAUCCCUAACAAUUCAUAGAUCAACUGAAGAAGUGGAUGGAGAACCCUUCCUUGGCCGGUUUAAUUGUCUUGCUGGUCUUAGUUGCUUCCUUGCACACCAUGGAAGGAAGGUUUUUUGAUGGAGAUGCGAAGGCGAGGGCUUUAGGAGGAAGAGUUAGUGACCCGCCUCCCUCUCCUGCGGCGAAUCCAUGGAAACGCUUUCCACCAAAUGCAUCGUCCCCAUGCCGAAGUUAGAGCCAUGGACCCAAGAGAGAGAGACCGAGUUGCUCUGUGUACAUGUAUUAUUAAUGGGGAGAGAUAAAAGAGGGUUGAUCUAAGAAAUAUAUAUCUGAUAAAACAUUAAUUAUUGCUCCCUCCCCUCUACUGCAUUCAAUUUGUGUUUGAAGGAUGAAAUCUUAAGCUUUUGUGAGUAUUUUCAUUGUAUAUAGGAUUGAGAAUGUUUCACCUGCUUGGGUGUUGUUUGGUGCAUUA